UGGGGAAUAUUGCACAAUGGGCGCAAGCCUGAUGCAGCCAUGCCGCGUGUGUGAAGAAGGCCUUCGGGUUGUAAAGCACUUUCAGCGGGGAGGAAGGCGAUAAGGUUAAUAACCUUGUCGAUUGACGUUACCCGCAGAAGAAGCACCGGCUAACUCCGUGCCAGCAGCCGCGGUAAUACGGAGGGUGCAAGCGUUAAUCGGAAUUACUGGGCGUAAAGCGCACGCAGGCGGUCUGUCAAGUCGGAUGUGAAAUCCCCGGGCUUAACCUGGGAACUGCAUUCGAAACUGGCAGGCUAGAGUCUUGUAGAGGGGGGUAGAAUUCCAGGUGUAGCGGUGAAAUGCGUAGAGAUCUGGAGGAAUACCGGUGGCGAAGGCGGCCCCCUGGACGAAGACUGACGCUCAGGUGCGAAAGCGUGGGGAGCAAACAGG
rnacentral:rRNA from 1 species